UGACAAAAUAACACUCCCGAAAUAAUUUAAUAACCAAAUAUCCUCCAUAACCAACUUCUCAAACCAACUUCUCAAAUCAACUUAUCAAAUAUCACCAAAAUCAUCCGAAUAUUAAAAUACAACGAUUAUCCUUAAUAACAUAAAAUAAUAACACAAAUUUCGAAUAUAAUAAUAAAAUCCACGACUUCUAGCAUCAUCACGUGACCACAAUAUCAAACUAACGUUCACUACUGGGUUGACUGAUGUACCUGUAAAUCUCCCGUGGGGGGGAAAAAUAUAAUAAAAGAGGGGUGAGUAUAAAACUCAGUGAGCUCAGUGAGUGGAUAGUAGGUGCUGAUACUUUAAUAAAUUAUUCAAAAUCAUUUAAUCUUUCUCAAAUCUUUUCUUAAAUCAAUUUCAAUUUCGUAAAUCAAUUCUCAAAUCAAUUUCUCAAAAUAUCAUAAACUCAUUUAAUUCAAAUUGAAUAACUGCAAUAAUAAAUCUGCAUAAAAUCGAUGGAAUCACCAUACUCAUAUUAAAUACUGAAUACUAAAAACUGUCAUCAAACAAGUACCCAGGGGAUAAUCUGAUCAUAUCCGGGCUACAACGGCCAGGCAAUGACGCACUAUCUGGGUAACGUCACGCCCCGGAGCCACAACGGAUAGAUGGGGACGAUCUCAUCUCAUAUCUCAUAUCUCUUAUCUCAUAUAUCUGUACUGUGCAUGCAUAAGCCCCCAAAAGGCAAAAGCGCCCGAACACACGGCCCAAAGCCUCUAUGUGUGUCCCGACGGGCCCCAAAGGCCUCUAUCUCAUCUUAUCUGUAUCUCUUUUCUGUAUCUCUUUUUAUCUGUAUCUCUUGUAUCUGGAGGGAAGGGUACUGUCUAAUGAUUUCAAAACUGAUAGUAAACAUAUGAUCCCAUCUGAAAUCUCAUUUUCUUUCUAUUCAACAUAUCUCAAGUCUGCUCAAUUCUAAUAUCAUGCUUUUACUCAAAAACGCUAAUAAAAUCAUAAAUCGAACUCAUUCUCAAUCAUAAUAAAUAUCAACACAUAAAUAAAAGUCAAUUCGCUGGAAAAUCAUUAAAUCAACGCAUUAAACAUUUAUUUCUCAAACAUACUGUACUAUAUAAGAAAAUCAGCAUAUACUAUGAAAAUAGUUUUGUAUAUUCCACUCACAGUGAUGAUGUCUAGACUCAGUAUCAACAACGUCCGCGGGUAGAUUCUCGUUCGCGGAUGCGGAUCCUCCUAAUCACGGAAAACACCAUAAUUAUUCUCCGUAAAAACCAAUUAAUAUAAUAAAUCUCGAAACAAAUAUCUAUUAACGAUAAACUAGUCCCGCAUGUAUAAAAUUACCAAAAUGCCCCUAUAGGCCAAAAUUGCCAAAAUACCCCCAACAUCAAUAUUUUACCAACUUAUCCUCAAACUUCAUGAUUUUACCAAAUUAUCCUCAUAUUCGUUAAUACCCAUAUUGUCCUCAAUUCAGAUUACAUAAAUUAAUCACAUUGUUCGAAAUUACGAAAUUACCCUCGGUUCGUAAAAUUACCGAAAUGUCCUUAACGAGUUAAAUCACCGAAUUACCCUUAAAAUCACAAAUUACUUCACUGCCCUCAACCAACAUUACCAAAAUGUCCAUUAUUUACAUAAAAUUACACAAUCACCCCCAAAAGUCCAUGAAUUUACCGAAUUGCCCCUCGCCGGUCAACGGUGACCGGACUUCAGUCAACGACGAUGGGGAACUUAGGUCUGCUAGUUCCGGCCUCGGUGAAUCCAACGGUGGCGGCCGUGAGUUGCCACGCGCGCUACCGGCUGCGGAUCGAAGUUCCAAAGUUCCACAAAUUUUCGGAGAUCAUUCGGCGAGUUCCCGACGUCCCCGGUGGUCGUGGCUGGUCGGGAAAUGUUGCUGGGGAUGUGAGGAACCAGUUCCAAGUGGUGGCGCGUCACAACUCCGGCGGGAUCAACGGCAACGAAAACGGGUCGAAGCCGCGACUUUUCGAGCUCGAUCACCGGCGUUCUGGCCAGUUUCCGGCGACGAUAACAGCAGGGAUACGACGGUCUGCUUCCAAGCUUCAGAUCGGUACCAAGCACGGCCGGUAAAGUGGCUGAAGUUGGGAGAAAUCGUCGGGUCAAUCCGCGGGUUACUGGGUCGGGUUCUCGGGUCAACGGGUCUGACUUCUCUCUCUAUCUUUCUCUCUCUUCUCGGGUUCUUACUCUCUAAAAUGGAAAACCCGUUUCCCUCUUUCCAGUUAUACAAUUCUGCCCCUUUUUUUUUUUUUUUUUUUUUUUUUUACAAAUUAAGCGAAUUUCAGAUCCGUUACGAAAAUAAAAUCCGACCAUCGGCGCGUAUAAUCGAGCUCAAUUUAUCCCAAUUAAACUAUAGUGACGAAAUUAAAAAUUAAUAGAGAAGAGAAAAAUAAAAAUCGGCCCUUUAUUAAGAAAAUCCAAGUGCGUAUAUUACACUUCGGCAGGAAGCUCUCAUGUUCACUAUAACCUCUUUUAUGAUCCGCUGAAACAUAAUGGUCCUCUUUUACCUCCGGCUGCAGCUUUAGCCCCAACUUUGUGGCCUCAAUUCCAUCUGCGCUGGGCUUGUCCCACCGAAGCCCAAACUGGGGAGCUUGAAGCACAAUGUAGGGACAUGGCUAUAAAGUUCUCUGAACUGAAGAAGGUAAGGAAAUUUUUCCUUCUGUUCUACAGGUGCAAUUUUGUGUUGUACUAGACAAUAUGGAUUUAGACAAUUGGAAAAUAUGAAUUUUACCCUCCUUUCGGGUGAUAGACAACAAUAAAAGGUUGUUUUCUAUUGGUUAAUGGAACCCCUCACUUGUUCAUAUUAUCCUAAAUGACAAUGAACUGACCUCGUCUUUUUUUUACUGUAAUUGAAUUAUAGAGGGUCUGUAAAUAGUAUUCAGUCGAUUAAAAUUCCUGGCAGGCAAAAGAGUUAGCGGAAAAGAAAGCUAAAGAAACCAUCAUUGCUAUGGAAUCACAAACUGCAGAGUUAAGAAAGGAGACGCAACUCAGGAGCAAGGCUGUGAAUGUAGCCAAUAGGGCCAGCAAGGAAAGUGAAGCCAUAAAUCGAGCCGUUCAAUCAUUAGGAUGCAAGUUUCAAUUUUCUAGCAGUGGUGAUUGUACUGUUGACUUUGAAGGUAGUACAACUGAGAGUCCACUGAAAAUGUCCGCUUCAAAAAGAGUAUCUGAUGGCAGUUUACAGUAUGAUGAGAAAUCAGAUUUCUCUGUUUCAGUCACCGUAAUGGAUGAUGUUGUUUCCAGCAAUCCAAUUGGUCGGAUGUGUGAAGCUUUGUGUCCGUUACGCACAGGGGAUGGGGGCUGCCGUUGGCUAGAUGCUGGUUGUGCUCAGCUGGGCAGUCAAUUUGUUGGACUAAAAGCAAACUUUGAUGCUUUUGAUCGGCUUUCUAUUUAUGAUAGUUAUUUUCAGUCUGAAUGAUAUUUUCUGGAUUUGAGCUACACAUGAGUUGAACCAUCGGCUUUCAUGUCUAGCUUAAUGCUUAUUCCUAAAGCAUCCAAAGAUUCCUUUAGGACUUUCUGUUGGUGGAAACAUGAAGGCAAUUCAUGAAAGAUCGACCCUUACUUUUUGGAUGGGUCUCGGAUUUGUACAGAGGAAUUAUAGAGUUAGCUGUGGACUUGGAGCAAGAAAACUCAGAAUAAUGCACUCGGAAGUGGUUGCAAAUUAUAGUUGCCCAGGUUCAAAUAUAUUUUCAUUUAGAUUCAAAAAUAGCAUGUCGCAUAGCCAUUCUUUUCCGGAAUAAAAUUAGUUUGUGUACAGUUUUAUGAGUAGUUAAUUGCUGUGACAAAUGUUUUGACAGCAUCCAUGUACAACAAACUGAUUUUGAUACAGUUUUGUAUUUAGAAAAUAAGCUCCCUUGAGAUAACUUUCUCUGUCUCUUUUUGUUAAUGCUUUUAACAUGUGGGUUAUGGCUUUUGCUUCGUUUAAGUGUUAUUUCAUCUCAAACAGGAGUAGAAACGUUUUAGUUAUUUUAUCAGCGUCUUUAGUCUAGUGAGUAGCGAAUCAUUAAUCCUAGAAUCAUUAUGUACUUUCUCAGUCCAAAUUAAUCAAAUAUUGAUCGGAUCGGAUUUGAUUUGAUCGCAACUUAGAAAAAUUGUUAACUUUUGUUAUCGAAUAUGGGUUUACUUUAGCUUAUAAUAGUGCCUAUAAAUGUAAUAUAAAUAUAAAAAAAAAUCACAUCCAUUUCAUUUUAAUUAUGUUCUGGUUUCAAAAUUUGCUCACUUUUUAGAUUGAAGAUAAAUUUUGUUCUUGACUCCCCAGUGCAAGGAGUAAGUGCGACUGCUGAUAGUAAUUAACCUUUUGGGUUCCUUUUUGGUGGUGCCUAUUUCUUGCUUGGUUUUUGUUCAUCCAUGUAUGCCUAAUUAAAAUUUCAAGAAAAAUACAGAGUACUUAUUUUAUGCACCUGUUUAAAUGAAAAUUGCAGUAUUGUCAAAAUUUGAGAACGACAAUUAAUCAAUGCAUAAUAAAUAAACGAGUUUAGCUAAGCCUUGAUUACAACAACAUGUUCUUCAACUUCGCUAACAAAAUCAAAUGCAUUUCGUUCAUUUCCUUGUAAAACUUUCAGAAUAUUACCAUUGCCGUCAAGCUUAACCGCCACAAGAUCUCUUUCAAUAUUUCGUCUUUCAGUGUCCAAUGCAACCCGAAAGUUUCCUUUACACUCCAUCUCGAUGUUGCCUGGAAAUUUCGAAAGCUGAGCAAAAGGUUGCGGAGAGAAUGUAACUCUCUCACCUUGAAUCCAAAAUUUUAAAAUCUUCAUCGAAUUCGAUUCAGCAACUGGUAGGAAUGAUUUAUCUUUGUUUAGGGUUACGCCAUUUGGAAAUGCUAGGCCUCUUUGUAGGACUGUCAGCACUUUACUGCAAGUAUCGUAUCUCAACAACCUCCCACUUCUAUCUCCACUAUCGAUCAACAUAGAAUAUUGCCUCCUUUGAAAGUACAUGCUGCUGUCAAUUAAAUAUACAGCUCCGGUAGUGGUAUCAAUGCCCAAAGCAUUUGUAAAGCAAAAAGAGAUUCAGCUGAAGAGCAAGUUGUUUCGCUGGGCCGACGACCAUCAAUCCAAAGUAUGCAUCAGCUAUGUACAAUCACAUGUUACACGGUUUAAUUUAAUGCACAUUGGCAAAGGUUCUAAAGUUGUGUUGGUCGAGACAUCACAUAUCUUCCGAGGCCGCCUAAUUAAGCCAGAUACAAAUUUGAAAUUCCGCUAGCAUAACUGAAGAAAAUGCAUAAAAAAUUCCUGUAAGCGCAAAGAAUAUGUAUGGUGAGACUCUUAUUUCUUUUUCCUUUGUUCCAUUUUCUAUGCCAUUGUAAUUAUCAUAUGAGUGAACAUUUGGGUGAAACUAAAGCUGCUUGAGGUCUAUAUAUAUCUUAGAAAUUUAACAACAUUACUAGCCUGUAUGUGAUGUUACAAGAAUCGGACAUAAGAGAGUGAAAUGCUAUAUAUCUAUUUAGAGAGUAUUUUGAAAAUAAAACGACUAUUUAUUAAUUUGUUAGUCUCACCUAGAGUUCUUUUUUUUUUUUUCCUUUUUCAAUCUUAAAGGACCCUAAGAAUCUCUUCUUGACGUUUAAUUUGCUAUAACAGCACAGGAAGCACUGUAAAAAUGCUACCCUGACAAUAACCUUUGCUAUACAUAAUAGGACAACACAAUAACGAGCGUGCAUGUAAAUUCAUGCUAUAAUACAAUAAUAUAAAUUAGACACACACACAUGUUAUAAACAAAUUCUUACCUGUAGGGAGUGGUAGUGGCAAAUUCAGUCCAACCAAAUUUUGAGCCUCGUCACUUGAGAAUUCUACCGUCGGAAACACCGGCGUACGGCCCUUCGCCAUUGCAAUCGAAAGCAAGGCUUUCGGGACCUACUACUCCGGGCAGAAGCUGAAGCUCAAGAUGGUGGUUGCCGUUGCGGCUGCGGCCAGCAUUGGAAGGUAAGCUGAAACUAUUUAUAUAUAUAUCGUAAGGGCAAGAAAGAAAAAAACAAUGAGAGGAGAGUUUUUCAUUAUUGCAAUCGAAGGAAGUAAGUUUUUGAAUUGUGUAAUUGUGAGGCGUUGAUAUACAUUGGUAUUUAUUUUAGUUGCUUUUUUCUAAUAAUUUUCUAUUUAAGAUUUUGAUUCAUUUGACUGGUUUGGAUUCGGAUUGAAUGUAAACUCAAACGUUAGUUAAACUAGCAUAAUGAAAACAACAAAAAUACAAGAAUCUAAAACUAUCCUAUGUUAUUUUACUUAUUCUUCUUUAUCAUUCUGUUUUGUGCAGACCACUCCUUUGAUUUGGUCCUUACCACAGGAAGAAUUCAUUUUAUUAACAGAAAAAAGAGAGAGAAAAAACAAUGGUUGUAAAUCUCUAUAACUCAUUUUAGCUUCAGGCCUUUAAUGGCUUGAAUUUAAUGUAUCUUUAUUUUUGGGGGGGGGGGGGGGUAACGUGUGUAGUGGGAUAGUCUGAUGGUGGUUUGUCAUAUGGUGGAACUAGCAUAAUAAAAUAAAUGAAUGUUUCAAAAUUUAUAAUUAAUUAUUAUUAAUGAUUAUAUAUUAUUGGAUUUAAAUAGAAAGAUUCAUCAUUCUUCUUAGUAUUAGUAGACUCUCUCUCACAUCCUACAAAGCGUAACCCUUAUCAUCCAAUUAUCUUUAUCAUUGUUCAACUCAUGAAGCAAAAAGUACUCCAUGAAGCACACAAUACCAAAAAUUCAAAUAAAUCAAACAAUAAAAUAUAAGAAUUUUUCUAAAGAGGAUGUUGGUUAAAUAAUAAAAAAAAAAUCAAACACAACAAAUCUUAAAUAUUUAGUGUUUAGAGAGUUUGAAGAAGUCAAAAGCCAUUAAAUAAAAGGUUGCAUAAUUAAAUAUAUGAUUAUGACAUUAAAAUUGGCUCUAGUAUCAUUGUUGAGAGAAGAUGAAAAAACUUCUGUUCCUAUGUUAAUUAAUUGAUGUAUUUUAAACCACUAAAGUUUAAUUGCUAGUAUAAUAAAAUAAAUAAAUGUUUCAAAAGACUUAUAAUUAAUUAUUAUUAAUGGUUACAUUUUAUUGGAUUUAAAUAAAAAGAGGAAGAGGCAUGUAAAAAUAAUAUCCACCAAUAUUUUAGAUAUUUUAGAAUAUAAAAAGAUAAUGAAUGGUGAUGUCACAUCAGCUCUUGUAGUCGUAACUUUAUAUAGAUAUAUAGAUAAUAGGACCAAAUAAUAUUUUUAAUAUUAAAUUUAAGAGGUUAUAUUGUGGGAUUACUAAGAGUUUCACUUUGGACCCAUAACUGUGUCACAUGACAGAACACUAUUAUUUGCUUCUAAGAUGGUGGGAUUGUGCUACGCAACUGCUUAAUAUUAAUAGUGCUAUGGGUGUUUUUUUAUUAAAUUAUUUUUUUUAAACUGUCUUGCUGUCAAGGCCAUUGAUAUUAAACGAAGAGUAGGAGAAUUCUCAAGUUAAUCAGUCAGUAUAAUAUUAAGGGAAAAUGACAAACACACCCCCAACGUUUAGGCAAAUGGACAAAAACCCCCUUAAUGUUUCAAAAAAGACAUUUACACCAUAAUUUAUUAUAAUUUUACCAUUAUACCCUUCUAGCAUAUAAAAAAAAUUAUUAAAUUAUCCACUUUGUCUAUAUAUUGUUAAUAAAAUUAUAAAUAUACCCUCAUUGCCUCAUUCCUCUAUUUAAAUUUUUAUUAAUAACCAAUUUUCAAAAAAGACAUCUACACACUUCAAAAAAAUUGUAAAUAAAUUAUAAUUUUAAAAAUAAAAUUGGUUAUUAAUACCAUAAUAAAUAACAUAGAAAAUUGGUUAUAAAUGUACAAGUUUAAAUUAUUGACAUGUGGAGAAUUGUUAAAUAUACAAGUUUAAAGUUUAAAUAAAAUUGGUUAUUAAUAACUAAUUUUAUUUUUAAAAUUAUAAUUUAUUUACAAUUUUUUUAGGUGUAUAGAUAUUUUUUUUGAAAAUUAGUUAUUGAUAAAAAUUUAAAUAGAGGAAUUGGGCAAUGAGGGUAUAUUUAUAAUUUUUUUAUAAUAUUCAAUUUGUCUAUUUAUAAUGUUAUUAACAAUAUAUAGACAAAUUAGAUAAUCUAAUAAUUUUUUUUAUAUGCUAGAAGUGUAUAAUGGUAAAAUUAUAAUAAAUUGGGGUGUAAAUGUCUUUUUUGAAACAUUAGGAGGGUUUUUGUCCCUUUACCUAAAUGUUGGGGGUGUUUUUGUCAUUUUCCCUAAUAUUAAUUGUUUCUUUAUUAUUUAAUUAUAGUAUUAGUUAACAAUGAAUUGCUUACUAGCCUUUCCAAUGUAAUCCAAAUGAUCUAUUUCAUUAUUUUAAUAUUUUCUUGCUCUGCAAUCUGCAAUGAGUAGAGGCAACUGUUUGUUAAAGAAAUCAAACUGUUCGACGAAUUGUUUCAAUGAAUACCUUGUAACGAUAUCAUCGGUGCUUUGCUCUCUGCCGUUAGCGAUGUGCAACAUCAGCAGAGGGCCAUGAGUUCUCUCCAACUUAAGGAUAAGAUCAAAGGAUAGAAGGAUCCAAAUAAAAGUUGUAAAAUGGGAAGAACAACAUGUAUAUUAAUCAGCUCUUUCAUGGAAAUUGAUAAUAGCCGUUACAUUUAUUCGCUAGCUCCGCAUUGUACUACAUUACUAUGCAUGUUGAGUUCAUUUCAUUAUUACUGUUUCUUUAGAUUAAGACUGUAUGCGUUUCUUUGAUUAUUCUUAUCAACUCGCUCAAAUGAAAUUCAGACGAGACCUUUGAAUACACUUCUUGAACUUUUUGCACAGAGAACAGAAUAUAAUUUAGAUGCUAAUGGGUUUAGCACUUUAGGUUCUUCUGUUUACGGAAAAGCAUUUUGUUGAGGUUUAUGCAGAGUUUUAUAAUCAUAACAACAAGUUUGGGAUUGCUUUAGCAUCCGAAAUAAUCAAUUCCUUAAGGAUUCUCAAAUAAACAACUUUCAGAUCCAAAACAACCAAUUCCUAUAAAGAUUCUCAAAUAAUCAACUUUCUGAAUUUAUUUUGAGCUCAAUUUUAUGGUGAUGACAGUUUCAUGCUUGCUUUUAUUCAUGCGUAUAUGCCUAAUUAAAGCAAAUUUCAACAAAAAUACGGAUGACUCAUUUUAUGCAAUUAAAAAAGAAAAAAGAAAAAAGAAAACUGUAGUUUAUUGUAUUGUUAGAAGUUAAGAAUAAAGAAGAAUGAAAAGAAGCAAAAAGAAUCAAGCCUAGCUAAGCCUUGAUUACAACAACGUAAGGCUGCACUGGAGAUCCCGCGUACAAAUAUCCACCAUGUUCUUCGACUUCGCUAACAGAAUCGAGUGCAUUUUGUUUAUUUCCUUCUAAAACAUCAAGGACAUUGCCAUUGCUGCCAUCAAGCUUUACCGCCACAAGAUCUGUCUUGUCAUUUCCUCUCUUAGUGUUUAGUGCAACCCAAAAGUCUCCGUUCCUGUCUGUCUCGAUGUUGUCCGGAAAUUGAGCAACUUGAGCGAACGGUUGCGGAGAAUAUAUAACGCUCUCACCUUCAACCCAGAACCUUAGAAUCCUCCUUGAAUCUGAUUCAGCAACCAGUAAAAAUGAUUUGUCGUUACUCAGGGUGACGCCAUUUGGAAAUGCUAAGCCCCUUCGUAAUACCGUCACUUGUUUGUUGCGAGGAUCGUAUUUCAAUAAUCUUCCACUUCUGUCUCCGCUUUCGAUCAGCAUAGGGUACUGUCUUCUUUGGAAGUACAUGCUGCUGUCGGUAAAAUAAACAACGCCGGUAUUGGGAUCAAUGUCCAAGGCGUUUGUGAAGCGAAAGGGAAUUCUUUCAGCUGAAGAAGCAAGUUGUUUCGCUGGGCCGCCGUUUCUCCCGACGACCAUCAAGCCAAAGUAUGCAUCAGCGAUGUAAAGAUCGCAUGUAACAGGAUUGAAUUUAAUGCCCAACGGCCUCCCACAUAAGGGUUCUAAAAUCGUGCUGCUUGUGCCAUCACAUAUCCUCCUUAGCCGCCUAAUCAAAUCGCAUGCAAAUUUGAAAUUCCGUUGGUACAUUUGAAAAGAAAUAAAUUAAUAAUUCGUAAACUAGAUUUAGUUGAAUUGCACAUACAAAUAAAUCAAAGUAAUAUAUCUGAUGUUAAAAGAAUCGCACAUAAGAUAGUGAAGUGUUUGGUAGAUGUUAGUGUUUUCAAACCGAAACGACAAUAGAUUUAUUUACUAGAGGUCUGACCUAGGUAGAGUAAUUUUCAUUUUCAAUUUUAAAGAAAUCUAAUAAGAACUCUUCGACCCUUCAAAUUUGUAUAAUAGUAGGGUAUAUAUAAAACGAUAACAUGCGACCGUAGCCUUUUCUAUGUACAUGAAUUUUUUGAAACACAAUAACAUGCAAUGAUAUAAAUUACAUACUAACAUGUAUAUAUACGAAUUCUUACCUGAAUGGAGUGGUGAUGGCAAAUUCAGUCCAACCAAGUUUUGAGUCUUGCCACUUGAGAAUUCUACCGUCGGAAACACCGGCGUACGGCCCUUCGCCAUUGCAGUCGAAAGCAAGGCUUUCGGGGCCAACUACUCCGGCCGGAAGCUGAAGCUUAAGAUGGUGGUUGCCUUUGCGACUGCCGCCGACAUUAGAAGGUAACCCGAAACUAGGAGAAAGCGUAAGGGCAAGAAAGAAGAAAAUGAUGAGGAGAGAGUUUUUCAUUAUCGCAAUGUGAGAGUAGUGUAUCCUUUUUGUUGGAGUCCAAAUUUGUAGUUGUGAUUACUUAUACUCGUUAAUGUUUCCUAAUAGGUUUCUGUUUAGGAUUUUGAUUUAUUUAAUUGAUACGGAUUCAGAUUGAAUGUAAACUCAAAUGUUAACUAGACUAGGAUAAUCAAAACAAUAACAAUAUAAAAUUGUAAAGCAGAUAAAUCCUAUUAAAAUAUGAAUUAUUAUAUUAAAUUAUUUUAUUUAUUUUCUUUUAUCAUCCCUUAUCGCCCUAUCACGUACGUGCAUACCAUAUUAUAAUUUAACAUAGCAUCACAAGAAGAAUUCAUUAUAUUAUAGAGAAAAGGAAAGUAUGAUGGUAAAUAACGUCUUUGUCUCCUUAAUUGGAUUUUGAAUAUUUUAUAAAAGAAAACAAAACUUAUUUUCUUCGUCUUGCUAGUUUGUGUACAGGCUUUUGAGUAUAUGCCUAAUUUACGAAAAUUUUAAUAAAAAUAAACGACUCAUUUUAUGCACUUUCUGCAAAAAAUAAAAGAAAAAUGUGGUUUAUUGUAUUGUUAAAAUAUAAAAAAUAAAUAAAUAUCUACCCUAUAACUUAACUCAAGAAGAACUGUAUAAAUAUUCUAUCCCAUAAUAGCAUUCCUUAAUCCCAGUUUAGAUCUUGCUUUACUCACCAAACCUUUACGGGAAAGAGCAGGUUGGGGGGUUUGUCUAUUUACCAAUUUUGUUUUGUUAAACGGCAGCCUAAAAAAAAGAUAUUUGGUUACAAUUCAACAUGAAAAUUAGCUUAUUGCAUCCUCUCGAAAAACUGAAAGGUUGAAAGCAACAUGACACCCAUGAUUUGGAGUCACUCAAAGAAGAGUAAAUAGUUUGUGACAACUAAAUAAUCACAUUAAAAAUCCUAAAAAAGCAGAUGACUUUGCACAUUAACAAAGAAAGAAACGUCUGGGAGGGUCGUUGAAGCAAUAACUUUCCCACUGAAACCAGCAUUUUUCUUCAUCAUUUAUUGGGUAGGUUCUAAUUCUACUACAGGAUUUACAUGUGACACAGGGACAUGCUCCAAACUCAGUCAUUUAUGUUACAGUAGCGAGUUCAAAGUGAUGCAUUCGAUUGCGAUUGCUGCAUUUCAAAUUUCCAAUAUAUACAUGUUUUUGACACUGGACCUGCUGUACUUCCAUGAAGUUGACAUCAUGCCUCAAAGCACAUCCAGCAGACAUUUCUUUUGCAUCAACUAAUUCCUCCUGAUUGGUCAAUCAGCGUGCCCACUUGGCCUCCACAUAAUGCACUUGAAAUAUUCCCAGGCUCAAGCAGAUUAAACACUACAACUACAGAGAUUGUAUACAUAUGUAUCAGGAAAAGCCAAAGGGAUCUGAUUUGCAACUGCUAGAAUUACGGCAAAAGAAAAUACCAACCAGGAAUCCCAUUCUCUUCACAAUAUGUAAUGGCCAUUGUGUCCAUGGACGUAAAGUUGCCGGAGACUGCCUCCCUGUAAGAUAUGUGUUCCGGUACUACAUGGCCAUUACCAGAGUGGGAAUCAUAUAUACCAUUGACACUUACACCUUUAACCAUUGCAUCCGCAUUAACUGACAUGAAAAAUAUGCAAAGCAUGUCAUUAUUAUUUUCCAAGUAAAGCUCCACACAAACAGGUAAAAGGAGAAAGAACACCAGUACUGGCAGUAAACCAUGAUUACAGCGAGUGAUAUUAUAUACAGAAACAAGAGAAUGAAAUAAAGCUGUUAAGUGGUACAAGCUUACGUUCAGAAGCUCUAAGAGCAGCAGCAGCAUCAGUGGUAAAAAGCGGAUUUCCAGUGCCGGCACCAAUGCCACCAAAUAUCACAACUCUCCCUUUUUCAAGAUGGGAUGGCUCUUUGCCUGCUAUAUGGUUCAUCAACCUCUGGCAAAGCAAAUGCACUUUGAACACGCGUCUUAAUUUCCAGCUUCUCCAAGGCUGAUUGAAGCAAUAUAGAAUUCAUAACCGUUGCCAUCAUUCUGAAAUGAAAUCACGGUCACAUUGCAAAAGGUAUUAUAAGGUUGGGAAGAGAUAUAAGCAACCUACAACUGUAUGGAUCACUUAGAGCAGCACUAAAGGUGUCAAGGCCUGACCCAGAUGAUAAAUUCAGUAUCCAAUAUAAUAGCAAUUCAAUUUCAACGCUGCAUCAAUGAAAUAUAAGCAUAAAAUGGGAGAAAAUGAGGAUAGAACUGCGAACUUUGUAACAUAAUAAACAAAACUUCCUAACUCUUUAAUGACCAUUAUGAACAUUGUCAACAUAAUAACAUAAUAACAAAACUUCCUAAUCUAUACUGACCAUAUAAGCAUGGUCUGUUAACAUAAUAAACAAAACAUCCUAAUUCUAGACUCUACAGUCCACAAGAUAGACUCCAACUAUAAUUGAAAGAUAGAGAUGGAAGUUUAAAUGCAAGAUAAAUAACAUAGAAAUUACCCAAUUUGAUAAGCUGUGGGUCUAUCGAAGCCAGUAUCAGAAAGCCAUGAAUCCCCGCAAAAGAAGUUUCGACCUCCAAGAACAAUUGCCACCUAAAGGUCACUUAAUAAUGAGCAUCUGCAACCUAAACUUAGAAAAACACAAAUAAAGGAACAUUUUGAACAAUUAAAACAUGUAAAAGAGAGUUUGGGCAAUACCUCCACCCCAAGACGACAGGCUGAUGCUACUUCCCUGGCAAUCUGCAUCACCACCUAAUAACACAAACCAUAUGUAAAACGGUUUCCCCAUGUAAAACCAACCAUAACACACUGCAAACAAAUUGUACAUCUAAAUACUUCCUUAUUCGCAAAAUUUAAACCACAUCAACUUAUACUUAAAAGAGGGCAAAAGAAUUGCACCUUGGGGUCGAUAUUAGGGCAGUUCCCAACUAGCGCAGAACCGCUAAUUUUGAACACUACUCUCUGCCAUUGUAGAUUUUGUUGCGGUUUGGAUUUCAAAUUAUAUGUGACUGUAGAAGUUCUAGGAGUAUAUCUGCCCAAAUAAACAAUUAAGAAUGGACAUUUAAUCAGACGAUAAUAACAUAAUAGAAACCCCCUUCUGUAGCAUGAGAGAGGUUAGAAAGAAACAAUCUCAUAUUUAAGAAAGCCCAUACAUACAAAGACACACGGUGCAUACAGUGUUGAAACAAAUAUAAAAACAACCUAGCAUAAUUGCAUUUUAGAUGCCCUGCCAAUAAAGCAUUGUCACUUGGUGAAGUCGCUCGAAGACUAGAAGGGUGUUGCCCAACACUAGAAUGUAUUGCCUACAUAAAAACAAUCUAGCAAAAUCGCAUCUUAGAUACCAUGCAAUUAAAGCAUUGUCACAUGCUGAUCUCACUCAAUAUUAGAAGGUUAUUGCCGACUAGAGCAAUUUAGUUGCGUAUACUUUCAUUUCGCCAUACAUGCUAAACGAGUUAUCCCCAAACAAGAUAAACCACUCAGCAAGCUAAAUAAACAAAACCCCAUCAACUUUACAUACUCCGAAAGUCAAGCAUAGUAUAGUCAGAUUGCUGGUCCCUUUUAAUGGUGAUAACAUUUUGGGCGACCGGGACUUUCAUGGCGAGGUAGUACAUGGAUACCACCGCUUUAGUUGCUACUAAGAACGGCCUACCCAAUAUAAUAUUGUAGGCACCUGGGUGAUCUACAAUAAGAAAAUCAAUCAUAUGAACAACAUGGUGAGGUACCUUACCAAGUGUAACGGCCAGCGUAAUGAUGCCCUUUGGUAUAACCAUAUCUCUGGCGAACCCAAUAAGAGGCGUAGCAUAGGGGGUGAUCUUUGGCGACUCAAUCAAUAGUUGAUCAAAGGCGCUUUUGAAAAUGACGUCAACGGAGCUGCUGUAUCUACAAGAGUUCUUGCUACCUUACCGGUGGCAACCUUCAACGUAACUACUAAGGUAUCGUCAUGGGGGUACGAGAUACCCUCCGCAUCGUUUUCUGUAAAAAGGAUAGGCAGGGGAUGGUAGGGUACCUUCGGUGUACCCCAUUCAUUAAGGUUGACUUCUCUGCCAAUAUUGGUGGUUAUCGACAACGAUCUACCAUAGCCUUUGAUAGCCCUCCUAGAUUGGCCCGCUAAAGUCGGUCCGCCCAUGAUCAUCUGGACAUACACGCAUUUCUUAUGUCCCGAGGGUACCUCUCGUUCAGGACUGCCAUCAGCUACCCGCUUGCCCUUAUCUUGCUCCGCGGAUUUCCGAGCUUCUCUCAUGCCAGCAACAAAUUCUUUGAGGUACCCGCUAAGAAUCAAAGAUUCAAUUUCCUCUCGCAAGGUAAAACACUUGGUUGUGCUGUGACCGAAGUCCUCAUGGAACUCACAAUACUUCAGGCUAUACUUCAUGUUAGGGUACUUCUUCAUUGGCUUAGGAGGACGAAGGAGGCCAAUAUCCCGAAUAUGGUAGAAGAUCUGCUCUGGGGAUCGAUUCAGUGGAUGGUAAGAUUUGUACCGAGGCCUCGGUGGUGACUCUCGCUGAUCCGGUGGUGGCGAUCUUGGAGGUUGGGGUACCCUUGGGGUACCUUGAGCGUUAUACCCUUGUCCCCGCGGGGCAGCCCGUGGAGGGCUCUGUGCUCGGGGUACCUGUGGUAUUGGGGCCUCCAUCCUCUUGGGCUUCUCCUUGUUCUUUGUAACAUCGGCUUUAUCUUCUUGGCGCUUCAAUUGGCAUUUCUCAUCCAUCUCCACCUGCUGCAACGCCCGGGAACGGGCUUCCCCAUAUGAAAGUGGGCGCUUCUUUUGAAAAGAACGCCAUAACUUGCCCAACCUCAAUUUUUUUUCAAAAUGGGUCAAUGUGUAUUGGUUUCCAAAUGCUCCGGUUCGUAGCACCUCUUGGUGGAAACGACUCACAUACUCCGCCAAAGGCUCGGCUUCCCCUUACUUGAUAAAGGCAAGUUUGGAGGCUACUCUAUCUUGAGCGGAAGCGUAGGAAAACUCUUUAGUAAAUUUGGAUAACAAUUGGUGUAAGGAAGAUAUGCUAUCCGCUUAGUUUCUUCCCUUGACUAAACUUUGUGUACUGUCGAGCUAAAAAAUAUUCUCUUUGUCUUUUUCGUUUCCUGCCACUUUUUUUUUUUUUACUCAACUGCUGAUGAGAAUGAAUAGUUGUCUUUAUGUCUUUCUUCUAUUUUCUUGGGAAAUGGCAGUCUUCUGACACACAGUUUGAAUUUUAAAAAUAUCAAUCUCACACAAACAUCCCUUAUCUCAUUUCUUGUGCAGUGUGUUCUGUCAGGUUGAAUUAAAAAUUCCUAACGUGAAUGUCAAUCUCCUCUCAUUUAUUUUGAAAAUCCCCAAACGAUCUUCUAAAAGUUGAUUAUCUCCAGUGGCCUUCUUCUUUCAAAAUUUCUCACAGGUAAAAAUUUCUUCUUUACUCUUUUUUUUUUUAGCCUGGUCAUCUUCCCUAGGCUUAUUCUAUCUCUUCACUUCCCUUUUUUUUUUCCUUCUUCUUCCCGUGUUUUCUCUCUUCUCUUUUCUUUAUUCUUUUUCUUUCUUUCUUCUUUUUCUUUCUUCUUUCUUUCCCUCUUUCGGCCGACGAUCUUCUCUCGUGUUUUCAGGCGUGGGUCUCAGUUGCUGCAGCGGCGGUUUUGGCUCCAGAUUUGGUUAGUUUAAGGCGGUUUUUCGGCAGCUCACGGCAAGAUCCGACCCGACGGUAGACACGGUAAUCCCCCUCCAUUGUGUCUUUAUUUUAUCCUUACUUUCUCUCUCUUCUUUCUCCUUUUCUUCUCUCUUUUUCUUCUCUAUUUUCUUUUUCUCUUUCGUUUCGGUCGGCGUUUUCCUUGGUAAUUUUCGGCGUCGGUUUGGUGGCUGUAGCCGCGGCAGUCGACGUCAGUUCAGUGGCUGCAGUCGCGGCAGCCGGCGUCGUUUCGAUGGCUGCAGUCCCCCCCAUCUGUGUUGUCUUCUCCAUUCUUCGUUCUCUUUUCUUUUUUUUUUUUAAUUUUCGAUGGCUUUCUCCCUUGGUGGUUUCUGACGUCCUUCUCGCGAUCUCCGGUUUUUGGUGGUUACAGCCAUGACAGCCGAUGCCGGUUGCUGCAGUUUCUUCGUUCUUCAUUAUUAUUAUUUUUUUAUAUUUAUAAAUAAAAUAAAUUGGCUAAUUUCAUUUGUGCUUGAAUAAAUAAAAUAAAUUUACAGCUUCUUCGUUCUUCACGCCAUUGGUUUUUAUAUUUGCAUAUUCUUACUUACUGUUUUUGGUUGCUUGCAGCUUUAUCUCCCCACAAUUACCAAUCCUGAUCCGUCAAGUUGGUAAAUCACAGGUAUCCUUCCUCGUUUCUCCUCCUUUGGCGCAUUUACAAUGGCACUAUUUUGCAUACUCUGAGAAAAAUUUGUUUGUUUGUUUGUUUUUUUUUUGUUGAUGUUUGCAUUUGAUGGUUGAUGUGUGGUGGGUGGUGUAUAGUAUGAAAAUGUUGUUGGGGGAAUUGUGGCUUGGUGGUUAUGUUGUUGGGGGAAUUGUGGCUUCAUGGUUAUGUUGUUGGGGGAAAGUAAAUGGGCAAGAAACAUACGGGGCCAGUGAGGAAGCGUUGUGCAGUUGGGGCUAGUAGGGUUGACAGCCCUCCUGCGGGUUCUUCUUCCCACAUCUCCAUUAGCGAGGAGAAUAGAUCUUCCCCUAGUACCUCUGGGAGUUGUAACUCUCACUCUGAGCUCCCUCCCCCUAGGAGUACUCCUCGUGUCAUCCCACACUUUCCCAGUAAACGGCCAACCCCUCAUCCUAAAACAAAAGGUAGGUCAUCCAAGCCCAAGGUUCCAGCUCGUUCCUCAGACCGGUCUCCCAAGUCUCUCUCUGCCACACCUUUAAAAUCUGGCAACCUUUAUUCCCUAGGCACUAGGAGAGCUACUUUAGGGGACUUAAAACAAAUUAGAGCCAAAUACAAUAUUCCUCCCUCUGUCCAGCUUACGGUACCCUAUGUGGAUGAACGACCUGAGUGUCCGAAGUCUGACGGGAUUGCUCUCCACAUUGACCUCUUUGAUCUAGGACUCUGCCUGCCCUCCAACCUUUUUAUAUGAGACUGUUUAGUUAUUUGGGGGUAGCUCCUGGGCAGCUGUCCCUUUGCGGGUGGAGGACACUUACAGGCUUACAUGUGUUAUGGUUGGAGGUAUUGAGGCGCAACAUUUCUAUGCGGGAAUUGAUGGGCCUUUACUAAUUCAAAAAGCCUAAGGGUCCCGCUAUUGCUUACUUUUUUGCUUGGGGUGAUCAUGGCCAUAUUGUUGAGGGGGACCCCGCCUUGAAGAAGGGUUAUAGAAAUGGAUGGUUUAUGGCUGAGGGUAGGUGGGGGACAGAAACUCUGGAUGAAAAUGAUAACCCCGUGGAGGUUCCCAAUUCCUUCAAUGUAGACUGUAAGUAUUUCCUUAUUUACGGUUCUUUAUCUUAAUAUUUCACAUGGAUGUCUCGCUAACCUUGGGUUCUCCAUGCUUUUGUAGGUGUGACGUGAGCUAAAGGAUCAUGCCCAGUUCAGGAGGUGGAGAGAGAUGUGAAGAAGUUUGUAGAGAGGCUUCGAGGUGCACAGAGGAGUAGUGAAGUGUUAGAGGAGAGCAGAUUAUGGAGAGCGGGGCUGAUUGACCAAAGUCUUCCACCUCCUCCCGGGGGUGACUCGUGUAUGAUUUGGGUGUCGGGGGGUACCCUAUUAUUAUCUACGGGACUGGGGUACCUCGUCAUCACUGCAUUCUUUAUUUUGCUUCCCCACUUUUCAUUUCCCAUUUUUGCUUUUGUACUUAGUACUCGUCCAGCUAACAUAACUUUUGUGCAUUGGGUGCAGUUAUGGAGUCAGCGGGUGACGCUUUUGAUGCAUUUUUCCAAGCGGUAGUGGGUGGUGCUUCUGGAUCUCAGGAUUCGGCGGUACCUCAGAAAAGUUUUUGGCCACCUCGAGCUCCCAGACUAAAGGGGAAAUCUCAGGGUACCUCCCAAAGUGCGUCGAAGGGUACCCCUCGUUCAAAGAAUAGAAAAUUCGGGCUGGUUUCUGCUUUCCUCGAUGAGUUGCGUGAAGAUGACCUAGACCCGGCUUCCAACAAGGAGGUUUCACACUUGGUUCCACCGAGCCCUCUCGUACUUUGCAUUCUUGUUAUUCUGCAAAUGAAUGCUUGACUAAACUGUUAUCUUACAAAUUUUCAGGGUACCUCUAAUUUUUCUUUUUUUUUUCUUUUUUAAAAUGGGGUACCCCCGGUACCUUAACAAAUAUUCAACAUCAGGCGCCUGCUGGUUUAUAUAGAUCGUCGAAUUUGGUGCAUGCCCUUCUUGGCAACUAUGGCGAAUUUCCCACAAAUAGGUAAUCAAAACAUCCUCGCGACAUCUCGAUCAAAAAUUGAAAGUGCACAAUUGGUCCAACCAAUCAAUUUCUUAUUCCUUCGAAGUUCCCUUCGAAUUUUUUGAAUAGCUUACCCCCUACUUUGCUCAAGUAAGAGGACGGAGGUGUGGGUGUACUCAUAUCUAAGCUGAACCUUGUGGCGCUAGGGUAUGCCGGUUUUACUCCACCCUCGAGUCCUCUUUGACCCUCACUCUCUUUGUUUAGGUAGUUUUGUCAUGCUUCCGCAGAAAGGCUACUCCUGGGCUGUUCACUCUGUUGCCCAUCUUGGCUCUGCAUAAAUCGUCACGAUCCAGGCAUAUCAGGUAUCCUGGCUGGUCCUGUGAUAGGUUAGUCAUAAUUGACAAGUGUAUGACGAGAAUUGCAUAUAACCAGAUGCGAGGGUAUAUUAAUGGCGAUAAAUGAAUAUAAUCCGCAUUCUAAGAUCGAAGUGACGAAAAAUAAAGAAAGAACCCACAUCAUAUUUGUUGAGAAAGAAAAUGCAUUUAUAGAUAACGAAAGCGUUGAUCAAUACAUGACUUAGCUUUAUUACCCUGAGAAGAAUGAGAGACCGCAAGACUUCCUAUCCUUUUCAUUUGAAAAUUAAAUAAACUCUAAAGUUGCAACUGACCAACAUAGGGCGUUUGGGGGUACCCCAUUUGGCCUACCACACAAAAAUAUUAAAGAAAGCAAAUAGCAGCAAAAGACUAAAGGUUAAGACACUGUCCUUUAGUAAUAUUUCCAUAGCAUUACAGCAUUCCAGGGGUGCCUCACGAUUGUCUCAUCCACGUGGAGUAGCCUGUAUGCACUUGACCCAACAGGUUUGUCGAUGCGGUAAGGUCCUUCCCAAUUUGCCCCAAAAGUACCUUCGCAGGGUACCCUAGUGUUCUGAGUUACCCUUCUCAAGACCAAGUCUCCUUUCUUGAAGGAUUGAGGGCGUACCCUUUUUUCAUAUAGACCCAAAAUGCGAUGCUGAUAUAUGGCUGUCCUCAAUUCUGCUCUAGCCCUUUUUUCGGCCACCAAAUCAAGGUUGGAAGCAAUCAAUGAGGUGUUCUCGGCCUCAUAAGAGUAUUCAACCCUGUGAGAGGGUACCCCGAUUUCUGCUGGAAUCACUGUGUCAACAUCGAAUGCGAGGGAAAAAUGGGUCUCCCAGGUGGAAGUGUUUUGAGUAGUCCGGUAGACCCACAGAACCCCAGGCAGCUCGUCUACCCAUGCUCCUUUUCUUUCUUCUAGCUUCUUCUUCAGGAUACCUUUGAUAAUCUUGUUAACGGCUUCGACUUGCCCAUUAGAUUGGGGAUGAGCAAGUGUAGCAAAUUGGUUGGCUAUCCCAAGCUCCGAACAAAAACUUUGAAAUUUUUCAUUAUCGAAUUGCUUGCCGUUAUCACUAACAAUUGCAUAGGGGAUCCCAAAUAUGCAAAUGAGAUUCUUCCAAAUGAAUUCCAUGGUUUUCCUUUCUGUGAUGCUUGUUAGUGGCUCUGCUUUCGCCCACUUUGUGAAAUAAUCUACUGCCACGAUUGCAUGUUUUGCUUGCCCCUUCCCGGUAGGUAACGAGCCAAUGAGGUCCACUCCCCAUAUAGCGAAAGGCCAAGGGAAAGAUAUAUUUGUUAGCUUCUCUGGGGGUAGGUGGGGUACCUUGGCGAACCUUUGUCAUUUGUCACAGCUUCGUACCAUAUUCUUGGCAUCUUCCCGUAUGGUAGGCCAGUAGUACCCCUGAUGGAGAGCUUUUUACGCCAGUGAUUGCGCUCCAUAGUGAUUGCCACAAAUCCCCUCAUGUAUCUCCCUUAUGACAUACUCGGCCUCGUCACUUCCCAAGCAUUUAAGGUAAGGAAGAGUGAAUCCUCUUCUGUAUAGGGUAUCCUGGAUCAGGCAGUAUUGCGAGGCUUUAUACUUUAGUCUUCUUGCUUCACUUUUAUCUGAGGGGAGGUCUCCGUCCUUGAGGUAUCUUAUGAUAGGCUCCAUCCAAAGUACCUCGUUGGAUAGUAAUCCUACGUCCAACGGCUCUAGGCGAUCAAUGCUGGGGGCGGGUAUGUGUUCUGUCGUGAUGGGGCCAGCUGACUGAGCUACACCAAGGGACGCCAUUUUUGCCAGGGUGUCGGCUUCGCUGUUCUCCAGUUGGGGUACCCUUUCCACCUUAACCACGCAAAAUUGGGACAUCAAUUCUUUGGUUUUUCUGAGGUACCCCUUCAUGUUUUCCUCUUUUGCUUGAUAUUGUGCGGUAAUUUGGCUUACCAUCAACUGGAAGUCGCUCUUGAUGUGUACCUUCUUUGCUCCCAAAGCCUUCGACAUCCUCAACCCUGCUAUAAUGGCCUCGUAUUCGGCUUCGUUGUUUGAAGCCUUGAAUCCAAAUUGCAAAGCGUAGCAUAUUUUCAUCUUGUUCGGGUCGAUUAUAAAAACUCCCGCACCAUUUCCGUGUGAGUUAGAGGAACCAUCUACAUAUAUUUUCCAGACCUGUCCCCCUUCAUCGGUGGAUGGGGUAUCUGACAGGUACCUCAGAUCACCUUCACCACUUAAGUCAUUGGCAAAUUCCGUAAUGAAAUCAGCGAUGGCUUGGGUUUUAAUCACCGAUCGAGGCUUGAAGAUGAUGUCAAACUCGCUUAAUUCGAGGGACCAUCGGAGAAGCCUUCCGGACAUGUGUAACUUCUAGAGGAUUUGUCGGAGGGGAAGGUUGGUGAUGACUGCAAUGGUGUGAGCUUGAAAGUAUGGUGUGAGCUUCCAUGCGGAGACAACCAAUGCCAAAACGAUCUUUUCAGAGGUGGGGUACCUCUUUUCGGCAUCAACCAUAACCUUACUAGUGUAGUAAAUAGGUCGUUGUAUCCCAUUAUCAUCCUCUCGGAGUAACACGGAGCUGGUGGCAUGCUCGGAUACGGCGAGAUACAACAGAAGCCCCUCUCCCGGCUCAGGUUUAGCAAGUAAUUGAGCAUUCACGAGGUACUCCUCCAGUUCUUGGAAAGCCUCUUUGCAAUCGGGUGUCCAUUGGAGCUUCUUGCCGGUCUUCAAAGCUUUGAAAAAGGGCUUACACCGGUCUGUAGCCUUGGAGAUACAACGGCUCAGGGCAGCUACCCGACCUGCCAAGCUUUGAACCUCCUUGAUGGUGGGUGGCGAUUUCAUGUUUUUGAACUGCGCGAAUUUUAUCGGGGUUGAGAGACUACUUAGACACUCAUGGCACCACAUCGUCUGAUGGAAUGUCAUCAUUCUUGGUUAGUCAUGGGACUUAUGAAGAUCUUUUCUUUUCUUAUCUUAAGUUCUUUUAAUCGGUGUCACGAAUGCUGAGAAAAAAAGAGUUUGCUUCUAACAUCAGCCGCAACAUGCUUGACACAAAUUUAUGAAGAGCAUUUGUAGUUCUAGGAACAUUAUUACCUCAAAGUUCCUCUCAUGUUGAGUUGGAACCUUGUCGCAUUACUCGUUUACGGUAUUUUUAAUUUGAGUCAUUUGCUCAGUGCUCAGUCUGUAUAAAUGUUCAAAUUCCUCAUUUUUUUUUUGGAAAGUGUUGCUAGGUGGAUAUCCUCAGGUUGAAUUGUUAAGGUUUUUUAAAUGUCUGUCUGCUGAACUUUGGAUAACUGUUAUCCUUUGAACAUCUGUUUAUGCUAUUUUCCAAUUUUAUUGACAGAGACAUGGUGGUUGGACAUGGGGUGGGGGCAAUCUAAGCAGUAUGUCAGCUUCAGUAUCAACCCUUGGAGACAGUGGUUGGUUAAUACAUGUUCAGAGUAUCCUGGCUGGUUCAGCUUGGAUUGCUGCACAAAUCGCUUUAGAAUCAGCUUCUGUGCUAGUACAUUGCAGGUCGGAAGUUUUUUGAUGUCAUAACUUCCUGGACUGGUCAUUACUAGAAAUGGAUAAAAAUAUUUCAGUUUCUGCUCAGAAAAGUUUGACAUUUUGAAUUUUUAGUUAUGUAAGCUUUGCUUCAUAACAACUAUAAAUACUUAAAUAAAUUCUUGAUUGGCUAUUGAGUCAUAUUUCUAGAUAUAUGCAAUUUUUAGAUUCCUUAUUUCUGGUUUAUAUCAUAUAUGCAGAGACAGGGUUAGGUUACAUUUAUAGAAUUUUCUAUUUGUCUUGGAUGACAGACAGGAUGAUUUCAAAAGGACCUCGUCAUGUAUCAUUUCUUUAUUUGUUUGUUUAUUUUCUUUUAAGCUGUUUUUAUCUGAAACUCUGGUCAGCAAGGUAUAAUGACCAAUCCAUUGUUUUCAUAUGUGAACUUGGGAGGGCUCUUUGUCAAAAAUUGUGUAUUUUUACGUAGGUCUACUCCAGGAGUUUUUCAUGGAUUGCUGGCAGCAAUCUUUGAAGACUAAGAGAGGCAGAUAAAAAUCCAGUUCUCAAACUGAGCUUUAGAUUGGAGUGAUUACGAUGAUGUUAAAGUUGUCUAUGAAGUUGUGUAAUUAAUAGCCCGUUUGGGAGUGUGGUGCAAAGCCCAGCUACUAAAGGGUUUGGUAACACUUGUAGCUGGGCUUUGGUAGCUUAGCAAUUUUUUUUCCCAAACACACCCUAAUUUAGAGUGAGUUGAGUUUAAUCCAAAUGACUUUUUAUUCCACCAUUUAGAGAGCUGCGAGAUAGAGAGAGCAAGAGACAAGAAUUUUUAUUGCAAUUUCGCCUACUUCUGUAAUCAGGAUAGAUAUUAGAGAUUUCAUGUUUGAAGUCCUAGGUAAUUCCUAUUUUGAUGUGUUAAAGAUUAAUAAAAUGAAAACGUUUUGUUGACACUCAACAAAAUGGAAAAUUUGUAUUUCUGGUGUUUCCCUGAAAUUGGCCUUUAUUGGCCUUUUUUAACAUUUUUGUAUUUUGGUGUCUAACAUGUUCAUUUCCCUUUGUGUUAUGCAGUGAUGGUUGGGAUAGAACAACUGAGUUGGUUGCACUUGCUAAUUUGUUACUUGAUCCAUACUAUCGAACAUUCGCUGGAUUUCAGGUACAUUUUUAUGCUUGAAACUUUAGCUCUUAUUGGCAGUCUUAAGAUCUUUUUUUCUGAUGUUUCUGCCAAGAUGUUCUUAAAUAAUCUAGUAUGAGAGGCAAUGUGGGAACUCUUUUGUUGCAUGCAUAGUUUUUUUGUGGCCCUUUUAGUUUAUUUUUUUCCCAUUUUAAUUUUACUGUCUCAGAAUCAAGUGUUAGCAUUGAUUUUUUUUUCUUUGCUUAUAUUUUAUUUUCUUCUUGGGUUGCUGUACCGUUCUUAUUUNNNNNNNNNNNNNNNNNNNNNNNNNNNNNNNNNNNNNNNNNNNNNNNNNNNNNNNNNNNNNNNNNNNNNNNNNNNNNNNNNNNNNNNNNNNNNNNNNNNNUGCUCUUCAGAAAUGCACUCAGUGUGAUGCGUGAUGUGACUCAUAAAUUAGAAAAUCUUUUUUCUUGGUGCAGGCACUUGUUGAAAAAGAUUGGCUAGCAUUUGGCCAUCCAUUUUCGGAUCGUGUGGGAAUGCCAACCCUCUCUGGAAGUGGUGAUAUAUCUUUUGAAUUAUGUAGGCAGUCCUCUACUGGGAGUUUUCCGUCAUCACCCAUGCGCCAAUCGUCUGGUUCAUUAGCACCUCAAGCUUCUGGUUCUUCUCAUGCACAGAACAACUAUUCUCCCAUAUUUUUGCAGGUUCUUGCAUUAAUAUUUAAUUUAACUAUUGAGUCGUUAGUAGAAUCUUCAUUUAAUUAAUAUUUUCAAAAUUCAAAAGCUUAAACCGAUAAGGGCAUGAAAAACAAAUCUUAACAUGCAUCAUGUGAAAUGUUGACUAAGACGAGCUUGCAGAUGGGCUUAGAUACAGGAGAGCUCGAAAAUGAACCAAAGAAUUGAAAUUUAAAUAAUUAAAAUUGAGUUUGCACUUGUGGAAAUUUAACUUGAGACGCUAUCUUUUGAUACCAUGUUAGAGAAACCUUGUGACCCAAAAGCUCAAGUUCUUAGCGCACUUCAUUAAGUAGCUGCUCAAUCCUAUAUAAACACUAGCUUGCCUUGAGGUCCUCCUCUUCCAUGCCUUUGGCUCUACUGUGCGAGGACUUCAGCUUUCUAGUUGUGUUAUAAGUUUGUCUGAUGAAAAAUUAAUGAUCUGGUGUGUGAAUUUGUUUCUGCAGUGGGUUGAUUGUGUUUCACAAUUGAUGCGGAUGUAUCCAUUUGCCUUUGAGUUCUCGUCGGUAUGUAUUUUCUUCUAUAUGUGAAAUGAAUUUCUUAUUCUGUAACAUAUCCCAUC
rnacentral:lncRNA from 1 species